ACAUAAGACACGUUUCCAAAUUCCAACUGUCACCAUUCAAAUAACGUUAUUAUUCUUUCAUCUGCUUUCAAUUGGAUUUUUAUAAUAAAUAAAUAGCACCGUUGGACGGACUCUUUCGUUCUUUCUAGGUUGACUCGACUCAUCUCAAUGUUCUGAAACUCUUGUGUUUUCUCUUUUCUUCACGCGAGACUGUGCUUCGACUCCAGUCAAGGAAGAGAUCUCUUUGAUUACGGUUUUGAUUUGGGGGUUAUUGAUUAGGGUGUUCUUUCUAGGUUGACUUGACUCAUCUCAAUGUUCUCCGGCCUUGACUGUUCUCGACUCAACCUAUACGCUUAUUAACCACGUGGGUAAAGUAGGUAUCGCAUUGGGCGGCGUUAGAUGCAGCGCUUUUAAAUUGUGGAUUCUAAGUGAACCUGGUGACUGGAUACCCAUGAGCGUCUCCACAGAGAUUUUCGACCAAGAUCCACUCGUGAACCAUACUGUAUCUUUUGAGGGGUCUAUCUCUGACGGACGACUCGUCUUCAACCUGGUGGAGCACUAUUUUUUUACCAAACCGACAGAGGAAUCUGUAUUCUACUAUGACUUACAAGAUGGUACGUACACGAAGCACAAGCUCCCAUUUCAACGCAGCAGUCCGGCGAUCAUCAUCUGGAAUCGCAGUGACACCAUUCAGAUCCUCUAGAGUCCUCCAUGAUCGAGCAUCUACAGCCAGCAUGCAUCUCUUUGAUGUUUUUUAAUUGUCCUCCACGAUCGAGCAUCAACAGCCAGCAUGCAUCUCUUUGAUUGUUUUCAGUUGUAAGAACAUCUUCGGUCUUCUUCUUUGUGGAGUUGUGAGAGAUUUUUCUUCGCACAGUUGCCUCUUUUUUUUGCCCUCUUCUCUCUCGCAUCAAAUAUCUUGUUUGAACAAAUCUGCGAAAUUUAUGAAUGUCACAGGAGUAAGUAUAAAUAUCAGAAAAAUUCGACCAAGUCAAACUAACGUAAAAUAAAACUUUUAAUAGGUUGCUGAACAAUAUCAAAGAUGAAGAUCUAAAUAAGUACAAAACUAUAAAAAAAAGUUAUGAAUGUUGUGAAUAACAAAAUAAGUAAAUGUAUAACUAUAGUUUUUGUUUAUGAUUAUUAUAUAUAUAUAUAUAUAUUUAUGUUGGAAAGUAACGAGAGAUGAGAGCAAAUGAUUCUUUUAUUAUUAACAAGAGGGCAGCCGAUUCUUUUAUUAUUAACAAGAGGGCAGCCACGGCCAAAGCCCAACCAACAUGGCAACAUUAGGGGAAGCGAUCAUUGCACCAACGUUGAUCACAAAGUAGAACCAGUUGGAGAAAGAGCUCAUCUUAGACUCUUUCUCUUCUUUGUCUUUUUCUAAAACUUCUAUCUUGAUCAUUUUAUUAGCUAAAUAAAUACUACA